rnacentral:rRNA from 1 species
CCUACGGGUGGCAGCAGUGGGGAAUAUUGGACAAUGGGGGCAACCCAGAUCCAGCCAUGCCGCGUGUGUGAAGAAGGCCCUCGGGUUGUAAAGCACUUUCAGUGAGGAAGAACGCCUGGUGGUUAAUACCCAUCAGGAAAGACAUCACUCACAGAAGAAGCACCGGCUAACUCCGUGCCAGCAGCCGCGGUAAUACGGAGGGUGCGAGCGUUAAUCGGAAUUACUGGGCGUAAAGCGCGCGUAGGUGGCUUGAUAAGCCGGUUGUGAAAGCCCCGGGCUCAACCUGGGAACGGCAUCCGGAACUGUCAAGCUAGAGUGCAGGAGAGGAAGGUAGAAUUCCCGGUGUAGCGGUGAAAUGCGUAGAGAUCGGGAGGAAUACCAGUGGCGAAGGCGGCCUUCUGGACUGACACUGACACUGAGGUGCGAAAGCGUGGGUAGCAAACAGGAUUAGAUACCCGUGUAGUC